GUGACAGGAGCACUGUAUGUGUUGGCGCUGCAAAGCACAGCGUUGCUCAUGUACAGCACUACUUCUGGUGACAUAAUCCUUUGCGUGGCGCCUUAUUCUGAGAGUAGCUGAAUGAGAACGAGGCACCUCACAAAGGAUGAUGUGGCUGCACAAUGGAAGAUGUCAGCAUGGUGAGCGGUGAUCUGGGGGAGGGGAUUCCACACUGUGUAUACUGCUGCCCGGUAUAGUGGUGGUGGUGAUGGGCCUGUGCAAGGUGUGACAGGCCCAUCCCAGCCAGCGCUGUAGCCUCCCCUAUCCCAGACAGCGGUAUAAAGAUUUGUUCAUAGUCCGACCCUCCAACGGUCUGAGGGACAGUGAACUGGCCCCCUGUGUAAAAAGUUUGGGGACCUCAGAUCUAGAUCGUUGGCUGGAACCCUCAAGGGCCUGGGGAAAGGGUGCUCCAGAGAGCAAAGUAACUAGAACUCCUAAGCUGUCUCCUCAAGAUGGGUGGAGCUUUAUUCUGCUGAGCUCCAGAAAGCAAAACCCUAAGCUGUGGCAUCAGCUGCCUUGGGAGGCAUUUCAAAGAAAACAGAAAUCCAAUCCCAAAGAGAAGCAGCAGCCACAGGACUCUCCUGCUAGACACAACUUGAAAGCUGCUGCCUCACUCCUUCAUUCCAAGAGCCAGGGAUACAGUGGAGCCCUUCCUCCUAGGGCUUCAGUGCAUCUCCUGCCACCUGUCAAAGCAGGAACUGGAAGAGAUGAAAUUCUUUUGCAAGAAGAACAUUAGCAAAAAGAAGCUAAAUGAGGUGGAGCAAGCGAUCCAGCUCUUCUCCCUUCUGAUGCAGCAGAAUUUGCUGUCCACCAACAACACUGGAUUCCUGACUCAGUGCUCCAAAAUCUGAAGAGGGAUGACCUGAUCCAGGAGUUGGUCAACUGUGUGGGAAACAAGCCUGGGCCUGGGAAUCAACUGCAUCCAAACAUGGAAGGUAGAACAUCUGCUGCCAAUGUUGGGCUUGAUCUCGUGGCCUGUAGAGGACAAGUAGGAUGAGGAGGGAAUACAUUCUUUAUAACCCACUCCUCUCGGAUACUCUUUUCUCUAUGUUUUAGUGCUUGGGUUUCAGGUAUGACUAUGUCAAUAUUUUAUUUAUUUUUGCUCCUCUUUUACUCCCUUCAAUGUAACACCACAACUGUCAGACAAAAAAACUGACUUCUUUAGCUAAUUUGGGAGACACCAGGGUCUAGGACUAUUCCAAAAGUCUCCUGAUGAAAAAUUCCAUCUGCCUCAAAAAAUGAACUGAUGGGGGUCACAAUAAAGAUUGAAGCAGACU
rnacentral:lncRNA from 1 species